UAUGUUCAACAGGGCUGUCUGAUACUGGG
rnacentral:piRNA from 1 species